rnacentral:rRNA from 1 species
AUUGAACGCUGGCGGCAUGCCUUACACAUGCAAGUCGAACGGCAGCACGGGUGCUUGCACCUGGUGGCGAGUGGCGAACGGGUGAGCAAUAUAUCGGAACAUACCCUAGAGUGGGGGAUAACGUAGCGAAAGUUACGCUAAUACCGCAUACGAACUAAGGUUGAAAGGGGGGGAUCGCAAGACCUCAUGCUCAUGGAGUGGCCGAUAUCUGAUUAGCUAGUUGGUGAGGUAAAGGCUCACCAAGGCGACGAUCAGUAGCUGGUUUGAGAGAACGACCAGCCACACUGGAACUGAGACACGGUCCAGACUCCUACGGGAGGCAGCAGUGGGGAAUUUUGGACAAUGGGGGCAACCCUGAUCCAGCAAUGCCGCGUGAGUGAAGAAGGCCCUCGGGUUGUAAAGCUCUUUUGUCAGGGAAGAAACGGUCUACUCUAAUAUAGUGGGCUAAUGACGGUACCUGAAGAAUAAGCACCGGCUAACUACGUGCCAGCAGCCGCAGUAAUAC